rnacentral:tRNA from 2 species
GGCUGCGUAACUCAGUUGGCUAGAGUAGUCGGUUCAUACCCGGCCUGUCGAGGGUUCGAGUCCCCCCGCAGCUACCA